CCUAACCCUAGGGUUUCUCUAUAAAUACGGAUCCCUCUCCCUUGCCCUUGGUCAUUUUGCAUUCCCACCCCUAUUGUUUUUCCAGCCGCCAUCAGCCUUCUUCUCCCCCACGCCUUCUUCUCUCCCUGGCUUUCUCCUCCACGCGCAGCAGCAGGGAGUCGUGCUCCCCUCCAUGGCGAGCAGCAAGUCGGCGCCCUCUCCGUUUUCCCCUGCUCCUUCCGGCUCCAAGCUGAACGCCGGCCGAGCUCCCCUUCCGGUCACCGCUCCUCCCUGCGAGCUCCCUGUUCCUGUCUUCCUCACGGCUGCGCGCAGGAGCUCCUCCCAGGGCCGCCGAGCUCCAUGUCCAUGGCGUGGAGCAGCAGCUCCCAUUCCCCUGCGAACCUCCCUGUCCAUGGCCACAAAUCCUUUCGCCCUUCUCUGCGCAGCGCCCCUGCUGUGUUUCUCCCAGCGAGCUCUCUGCUCUCGGCCGCUGGCAGCCAUGGCGCCCAGAAAAAUCCCACAGCCGAACUCCCCCAGCUGAGCCCCCAAGCAGCGCCCUCCCUGCUCCAUAGCUCAAGCCCGAGCUCACCCCCUGACGCUUGGAUCCCUGGAACGCAGCAGCUCUGCCCUCUCUCCCAUGGUUGUCCAGCCCCUUACUCCAAGGGCGUGAGCGCGCAGGGAUCUGCUCGACGCCGCAGCGCCCAGCCAUGGUGGCUGUAGGCCGAGCCCCUUUCCCGUGGACAGCCCCAACCUCCUCCUCUCUUCCCCACAAAACAGCAGACCCUAUGCCGAUCUUGUGUCGUCUCGCUGCCACCGCUGCGCGCAUGCCAAGUGUUCGGCAUAAUGUCGAGGGAGAUGUGUUGUUACAGCACGCCGUGAUGCCGCCGUGUGUUCGCUGUUUUUGCGCAACCCCCUCCGCGACGCCGUCAAAACCCGUGCUAGCCGUCAAUGCCAUCCGUCGCGCACGCGUGUUCGAUGCGAGGCCGGUCGGGUGAACCACAUGCAUGCACAACUCAAAUCUGAUCCCGUUCAGGUUGAUUGAUUUAUAGUUUACCAUACGUAUGAUUUGGUUGAUGUCAUGCAGUGCACGUAUAUGUGUGGAUGUGUGUAAAAUGUUUUGGUUAUACGCAUUAGUAGAUUCGCAUUUGCGGUUGGAGAACAAGAAGUCGUUUGCUGUGUGCGAUUUGUAGUUUGUCUAAAUACGUUUUGGUCGAUGUGGUGUGUAUUGGUGUUUGAAUAUAUGUGGCUGCGAUGAUUCAUUUAUGUGU